rnacentral:rRNA from 1 species
UUUGAUGAAUUAAGCUGACAAAAUUGUAUAAGAGGUUCUAUUGUAAAAUUUAAAGGAAUUGGCGGUGAAGAAGUUUUAUUCUGAGGAACUUGUUUGAUUAGAGUUGAUGGUACACGUUUGAUCUUAUCUUUAAUUGAAUUAGAUUUAUGUAUUGCUGUUUAAUUUAUUAUUUGAUAGUUUUUAAAUAAAUGUAAUCAAAUUUAAUUUGAUUAUUUCAAGUCUAAAUGUAGUUAUUUUAAAGGUUUAAAUGAGUUACUUUUUUUUAGAUAGAAAGAUAACGGAUAAGGGAUGUGAAUGCGUUUUUUUUAGGUUGGAUUAGGUUGUAAUAGGAAAUUAGUAAGUUCUUUUGAUAUAGUUUAUUUUCAUGU